UUCAGGAUGAUAUUGGUUUUGGUAGCAUGCUGCCUGCAACUACAAAAUGACAGUGCAAAUGAUGAUGGCGGGAGAAACUGCCAUUUCCCAGGUGGCAGAGAACAUCACUCGCCCUGCCGAUCUAUUGAUGCAUCCCUGGGAAGUGAAACCACGAGUUCCCACCUAAGCCACUCUGUCAUCGGGGCUAUUAGCAAUAAUUGAUGAAGGAUGGAACCAGAAGCUGCGGUUGGGAGAGACUGAGAAUCAAGUGCGGGGACCAGCAGAGCAGAAAGCCUGAAGCAAAUGAGCUUAUAGAGCAGAUGGUCUAAUGGCCCAGAAAAUGAAGGUGAACAAACAGAAAAAGUUUGCUGACUUGUGACCUAAAGGGCUUGAUAAAGUACAGAAUUAAUCCAUUGCUAUAUUGAGGAGACGCUGCCAGUAAAGAGAUUGCUGAGGAGAAAGUUGGAAACACUUUGAACAGCAAUGGAUUUGGGGAAGCUACUGAUUCUUUCUGUUGCCAACCCUCCUUUUUUAUUUUUAUUUUUAUAAAUAAAGUGCCACAA